rnacentral:rRNA from 1 species
UACAGAGGUCUCAAGCGUUGUUCGGAAUCACUGGGCGUAAAGCGUGCGUAGGCUGUUUCGUAAGUCGUGUGUGAAAGGCGCGGGCUCAACCCGCGGACGGCACAUGAUACUGCGCGACUUGAAUCCGGGAGAGGGUGGCGGAAUUCCAGGUGUAGGAGUGAAAUCCGUAGAUAUCUGGAGGAACAUCAGUGGCGAAGGCGGCCACCUGGACCGGUAUUGACGCUGAGGCGCGAAAGCGUGGGGAGCAAACAGG